rnacentral:rRNA from 1 species
UCAAAUUUGAAAUCUGGCCCUCGGGUCCGAGUUGUAAUUUGUAGAGGAUGCUUUUGGUGCGGUACCUUCCGAGUUCCCUGGAACGGGACGCCAUAGAGGGUGAGAGCCCCGUCUGGUUGGAUGCCAAUCCUCUGUAAAGCUCCUUCGACGAGUCGAGUAGUUUGGGAAUGCUGCUCUAAAUGGGAGGUAUAUGUCUUCUAAAGCUAAAUAUUGGCCAGAGACCGAUAGCGCACAAGUAGAGUGAUCGAAAGAUGAAAAGCACUUUGAAAAGAGAGUUAAAAAGCACGUGAAAUUGUUGAAAGGGAAGCGCUUAUGACCAGACUUGGGCUUGGUUGAUCAUCCGGCGUUCUCGCCGGUGCACUCUUCCGGCUCAGGCCAGCAUCAGUUUGCUUCGGGGGAUAAAGGCUUUGGGAAUGUGGCUCCCUCGGGAGUGUUAUAGCCCACUGUGCAAUACC